AUUGAACGCUGGCGGCAGGCCUAACACAUGCAAGUCGAGCGGGGUUUUCGGACCUAGCGGCGGACGGGUGAGUAAUGCGUAGGAAGCUGCCCGAUAGAGGGGGAUACCAGUUGGAAACGACUGUUAAUACCGCAUAAUGUCUACGGACCAAAGUGUGGGACCUUCGGGCCACAUGCUAUCGGAUGCGCCUACGUGGGAUUAGCUAGUUGGUGAGGUAAUGGCUCACCAAGGCGACGAUCUCUAGCUGGUUUGAGAGGAUGAUCAGCCACACUGGAACUGAGACACGGUCCAGACUCCUACGGGAGGCAGCAGUGGGGAAUAUUGGACAAUGGGCGCAAGCCUGAUCCAGCCAUGCCGCGUGUGUGAAGAAGGCCUUCGGGUUGUAAAGCACUUUCAGCGAGGAGGAAGGGGUGUGUGUUAAUAGCACAUCAUUUUGACGUUACUCGCAGAAGAAGCACCGGCUAACUCUGUGCCAGCCGCCGCGGUAAGAC
rnacentral:rRNA from 1 species